GCUGGGUGUGGUGGCGCACACCUGUAAUCCCAGUGGCUCUGGAGGUAGAGACGGGAGGAUCGCAAGUUCAAAGCCAGCCUCAGCAACAGCAAGACAUCAAGCAACUCGAGGAGACCCUGUCUCUA
rnacentral:sRNA from 1 species